GAAAAGGUGGCAGGUAGAGUCUCGGUCCUGCCUUCCAGGCUCACGAACCGGGUGGCAGGGAUCCCUGGACGUUCAAAGGCUGCUUUUGGCCUCAUUCGCAGAUUGGCCAUCAGGCUGUCUGUGAGCAUUUUGCUAAGCACCCCUGGCAUCCGAGUAAGUCCCAACAGCCACUGUAACGCACCCGGUUUCCUCUAUUGCUGGAAGUAGGCCCAUAGACCUUCCAGGCAUCAGGCCAAUCAGAAGAGGACUUUUGGAUCCCCUGGAACUGGAGUGACAGAUGAUUGUGAACCACCAUGAAGGUGUCAGGAACUAAAACUGGGUUCUCCGAAAGAGCAACAAGUGCUCUUAACUGCUGAGCCAUCUCUCUCAGCCCCUGGAAGUAACUGUGGACCAAUUCACAGUUGACAUCCAAUUUGGUCCUUUCAGAACAAUGGCUGAACACUGCUGUCCUUGGGAGACAUGGAGCUCCAAGUGUGGGGCAAGUUGAGGUUGUUGGUACAGUGUGUGCAGAGCAGGCACGGUUGAGGGACUGACUCAUCAGAGGGCCUGUCUGGGCAGUCCCAGGCCCUGGUACCUGAGGGUUGGACCCUCCCUUCUCAUCACAGGCCUUGUGACCAAAUCACUAGUCACCAAAAAAUGACUUCUUGUCUCAAGCACAAUAAAGACAGACUGUUCUGUUCUCUUA